GAUUUGCGUGAGGGAUGGCAGUGCAAAGCCCCCAGCCGCGAAACGUCCCGAAACUUCGGGAGAGCGGCGAGGACUUGCAGCGAACAGCCCGACGGCGU
rnacentral:misc_RNA from 1 species